rnacentral:lncRNA from 1 species
AACAGUAAAGAUUUUAGAGAAUUCAAACACAAAUGGAAGCAGAGAGAGCAAAAAGGAAGAUCCAAAUUGAAUUUGAUGGUCUUCCCUGAUGUAAUCUCUUUCAAUCAUUCCAUAUGGACAUGAUAGUAAACUAAAAAAAGGAUAAAAAUUUCACCUCAAGAAGAAGAGCUUUGUCACUGAACAAUUAAAAAGAACAAUGCCACACAAAAACGCUACUUCUC